GCGAGGGGAACUGAACCCACUGCCGGAAGCAUCUGGUGGAAAGAAGAUAUCUAAAGACCUUGUUAGAAAGGAUGCAGACAAGACAGGACUUGCUACAAUCGGUGAGGAGGUGAAGCAGUUGGCUCAAAGAGCGAGGGAUAACAGCUUAAAACCACAAGAUUAUGAGGCAUUUAGUGAUUUUCCAGAUUUUGUCUGUAGUGAUAGGGGAGGCUGCCCUGCGUCUAAUAAUGGAACAUGGA